rnacentral:lncRNA from 1 species
AAAUGUAACUUUAUUACACAGCUUAAUUUUAAAUUAAGCUGACAUUUGGUUUUCAUUUCUCUAAACACUUAUUUUCAAUUACAAAUUCUCAUAUAAAUUAAUCAAAAAUACAAUUUGUCCAUAAAUGGACCUCAAACAACAACAAAAAUUUCGUAAAUUACACAAGCUAAUUUUCUUAAUAUAUUAUUUGAAAUUAAAUUUAAACACACAAAUUAAAGGAUUUUAUGACUCGAAAUUAGGGGUGGGUUGGGAGGCCCGCUCAAGCGAGUUCUGCAAAGUAAGCAGCGUCAACGCUCGGCCAGCCUAUAAC